rnacentral:lncRNA from 1 species
GGGGGGGGGGGGGGGGGGGGGGGGGGGGGGGGGGGGGGGGGGGGGGGGGGGGGGGGGGGGGGGGUGCUGCCUCCCCCGGGGGUUCCGGGGGGGGCUUUAGGGGGUCACACUCGCAGCCGGCACCCAGCGCUGCCGGAGCAGAAAGCGCUCGGGGUUUGAUGCUCCUGCGCUGGAGCUGCUGCGGGAAAACAGCAACAACAAAAAAAAAAAACCUCCCCGCAAAAAAAACCUCCCCGCGUGUCGGGAAGCGGAGCAGGAGUGGCCGCAGGUGGGGCUGUGCGAGGGUGUCCUGUCCUCCCCGACAGCUCACGGAGUUCUCCCCAAACUUAUUAUUGCAGCGACGUCGGCGGGGACCGCGCUGGUUUGAAGAUUUGGGAGCGGGCGGAGAGUUUGGGAAGCGGGACGGACUCGCGGGAUUCCUGAGGAUUGCGGGGACAGGAGCGGGGACUUCAGGAAAAGCAGAAAUACAAUGAGUGCAGUGACUCAAAGCCGUGCAGGUUGUCAGCACUCAGAAGACAUUAAUGUCCUCAGAGAGGAGUAACGCACAGAGCUGUGGGCAGCCCCCAAACCCUGCCUUAGAUUUAUGGCCUGAGACUCGGGGUGGAAUGGGGCAUUCCAGGAAAUCCCUGGAUCACGCUUGGCCUCCCAAGCAUUAGGAGUGAAUCCUGCUGGGACCUGACUUGAAUCUGCACGAGGUGAGGAUCAGACCUCGGCUCUGGUGCUGUUUUGUGCCCCAAUUCCCCGUUCUUAAUUUCGGAUGAACGAGCAGAACUGGCUCUUGGGUGGGAUUUGAACUGGGUGUGACCAAACUCCUGGACCUUGUGAGUGAUUUUAUCCCCGAUGCUGAUUUUGUGCCUUUUCCACCAGUCUGGGAAUGUUGGGCAGGAUCUCACCUUAACUGGACCUUGUGAGUGAUUUUAUCCCCGAUGCUGAUUUUGUGCCUUUUCCACCAGUCUGGGAAUGUUGGGCAGGAUCUGCCACUGCUCCAGGGUGUUUUCCUGUUCUUUCCCCUCUCCUGGGGCUCUGGGGUCACUUCAGCCUGGAGAGGAGAUACCCAAAGUGGAUUUUGGCCAUGGCCAGGACCUGAGCUCUCCCUGUGACCACCUCGCUCUGGAUUCUGCCAGAGUUACCAAAUUCUCCCUUCAGAGCUGCAGAGAGAAUAAAGGAUUGUUGUGGUCACGGGGCCAGCGCUUCCUCGGAGGUCGCUGAUAAAUGCAGAGAGCACAAAGGGACAAGGAGGUGACAGUGGCAGGGCUGCGGUGCCAGGUACCGGCUGUGCGGGGGAGGGCUCUGCGUGCCCUGUGUUUGGGAAUGUCUGUCACAAACAGUCCCGGUGCUUUUGGGAAUGGUGUGACAAUCUAUUCCAGUGGAUUUGGGAACACUGUUGACAAU